AUGUGUGUCCCGAAAAGCCAAGGUGGAAUGGGCUUUCGUGACAUUCAUUAUUUUAAUUUGGCGAUGUUGGCUAAACAAGCUUGGCAUCUCCUUGUGAACCCCGAUUCCUUGUGUGCCACCAUUUUGCGAGCUAAGUAUUUUCCUGAUGGAGAUUUAUUGAACGCAAAGUUAAAAAAAGGAUCAUCCUUCACAUGGCAAAGUAUUAUGGCGGGGGUUAAUACAUUAAAACAUGGCUAUAUUUGGCGUGUUGGAAAUGGUCAGAAAAUUGACAUUUGGGAAGAUGCUUGGAUCCCUAACUGUGGUAACAGGAAAGUCAUCACUCCAAAGGGACAACAUUUGUUAUCAAAAGUGUCUGAUCUCAUUGACCCCUCUUCGAACAGGUGGGAUGAGGAUUGGAUUCGUCCCCGGUGGGUUUUGUAA
rnacentral:rRNA from 1 species